GAGCGUAUAGGUCAGUGGUAGAGCACAUGCUUAGUAUGCACGAGGUCCUGGGUUCAAUCCCCAGUCCCUCCA
rnacentral:tRNA from 1 species